rnacentral:rRNA from 1 species
UGGGGAAUAUUGGACAAUGGGCGAAAGCCUGAUCCAGCCAUGCCGCGUGUGUGAAGAAGGUCUUCGGAUUGUAAAGCACUUUAAGUUGGGAGGAAGGGCAUUAAGCGAAUACCUUGCUGUUUUGACGUUACCGACAGAAUAAGCACCGGCUAACUCUGUGCCAGCAGCCGCGGUAAUACAGAGGGUGCAAGCGUUAAUCGUAAUUACUGGGCGUAAAGCGCGCGUAGGUGGUUCGUUAAGUUGAAUGUGAAAGCCCCGGGCUCAACCUGGGAACUGCAUCCAAAACUGGCGAGCUAGAGUAGGGCAGAGGGUGGUGGAAUUUCCUGUGUAGCGGUGAAAUGCGUAGAUAUAGGAAGGAACACCAGUGGCGAAGGCGACCACCUGGGCUCAUACUGACACUGAGGUGCGAAAGCGUGGGGAGCAAACAGG